GUGGUCUCAACCAGCCCAGAAAGGGGCUCCCAUAGUGCAGUGGUGGGCUGAAGGGCUCCUCAAGUGCCACCAGGGAUAUGUUUCUUUCUGGAAAUUCUCAUGGAAAAUCAAUUUUCCUGCUUUUUCAAGUUCCAGGAGGCUGCCUGAGUUCCUUGGCCUGCACCCUUUUCUUCCAGUUUCAAAGCUAGCAAUGCUGGCCGAGUCUUCCUCACACUGUCACUCUGAUGCUGACUCUUUUGCUUCCCUCCCU
rnacentral:lncRNA from 1 species